GUGUGCUUGUGUGUGGAGGGUGUUCAGCACCAGGGACUGGUGUGUUUGUGUGUGGAUUUUGUUCAGCACCAGGGACAAGUGUGUUUGUGU
rnacentral:pre_miRNA from 1 species